ACUACGGGAGGCAGCAGUGGGGAAUAUUGGGCAAUGGGCGCAAGCCUGACCCAGCAACGCCGCGUGAAGGAAGAAGGCUUUCGGGUUGUAAACUUCUUUUCUCAGGGACGAAGCAAGUGACGGUACCUGAGGAAUAAGCCACGGCUAACUACGUGCCAGCAGCCGCGGUAAUACGUAGGUGGCAAGCGUUAUCCGGAUUUACUGGGUGUAAAGGGCGUGUAGGCGGGAAAGCAAGUCAGAUGUGAAAACCAUGGGCUCAACCUGUGGCCUGCAUUUGAAACUGUUUUUCUUGAGUACUGGAGAGGCAGACGGAAUUCCUAGUGUAGCGGUGAAAUGCGUAGAUAUUAGGAGGAACACCAGUGGCGAAGGCGGUCUGCUGGACAGCAACUGACGCUGAGGCGCGAAAGCGUGGGGAGCAAACAGGAUUAGAUACCCUAGUAGUC
rnacentral:rRNA from 1 species